AUCACAACGCCUACCAACUGUGCAGUGCUCUGGAAGACAGGGUGCAGAAUUACGAUCUGGAUUUGAGCUAGAACACAGGACAUGGCACUCGGGGGAAGAGCUACCAGCAUGCUGACCUCCAGCCUGCUGAGGACAGUCAUGGCCUCCAUCUGUCUCGGCUCCAGCAUGGCCCAGACGGUAACUCAAGCCCAGACGGCAACUUCAGUGAUGGAGAAGGGAAGUGUGACCUUGGGCUGUGGAUAUGAAACCAGUGAUACUACUUAUUCUUUAUUCUGGUACAAACAGCCGCCCACUGGGGAAAUGAUUGCUCUUAUUCGUCAAGACUCUUAUAAUGAGAAGAAUGCAUCAGAGGGUCGGUAUUUUCUGACCUUCCUGAAAUCAGCCCGUUCCAUCAACCUCACCAUCUCGGCCUCACAGCUCACUGACUCCGCAGUGUAUUUCUGUGCUCUGAGAGAACACAGAGAUGUGGGUGCCUGCAGGAGCCCUACAGAAACCUCAAGAGGAGACAGUGCCCCUAGGGGAGGGGCUCCCUCACAGACAGGAAAAAGCAGGGCUGUGUCAACACAGAUGGGGGUUUGGCCGGGAAACUGGCUUAAUUCAUAUAGGUGUUCAGAUAUAUCAUUUAUUUGAAGCAUAUGCAUUGUUUAUUCUUUAGAAUAGAUUGAUAUAGAGUAUAUAGCACAUAUUUUUUUAUAGCACAUAUGAAAAUACAAAACAAAAAAGUUUCAUGGAGUAAGCAAAUGGUGAAAUUGUUACAUCACUGGACUCCCAUGUAGUUGACCACUGUUUGAAUCCUGGACCCCACAGCUUGAAACUCAC